rnacentral:rRNA from 1 species
CCUACGGGUGGCAGCAGUGAGGAAUAUUGGUCAAUGGGCGCGAGCCUGAACCAGCCAAGUCGCGUGAGGGAAGACGGCCCUACGGGUUGUAAACCUCUUUUGCCGGGGAGCAACGGGCGCCACGUGUGGCGCCACUGAGAGUACCCGGAGAAAAAGCAUCGGCUAACUCGGUGCCAGCGGCCGCGGAAAUACGGGGGAUGCGAGGUUUAUCCGGAUUUAUGGGGUUUAAGGGGUGCGUAGGCGGAGCGUUAAGUCGGGGGUAAAAUUGAGGGGUUAACCCCCUUCCCGCCAUUGAAACUGGCGCUCUUGAGUGGAAGAGAAGUAUGCGGAAUGUGUGGUGUAGCGGUGAAAUGCAUAGAGAUCACGCAGAACCCCGAUUGCGAAGGCAGCAUGCCGGCUUCCGACUGACGCUGAAGCACGAAAGCGUGGGGAUCGAACAGGAUUAGAUACCCGAGUAGUC